rnacentral:rRNA from 1 species
GAUGAACGCUGGCGGCGUGCCUAAUACAUGCAAGUCGAGCGAACAGAUGAGGAGCUUGCUCCUCUGACGUUAGCGGCGGACGGGUGAGUAACACGUGGAUAACCUACCUAUAAGACUGGGAUAACUUCGGGAAACCGGAGCUAAUACCGGAUAAUAUAUUGAACCGCAUGGUUCAAUAGUGAAAGACGGUUUUGCUGUCACUUAUAGAUGGAUCCGCGCCGCAUUAGCUAGUUGGUAAGGUAACGGCUUACCAAGGCAACGAUGCGUAGCCGACCUGAGAGGGUGAUCGGCCACACUGGAACUGAGACACGGUCCAGACUCCUACGGGAGGCAGCAAUAGGGAAUCUUCCGCAAAGGGCGAAAGCCCGACGGAGCAACGCCGCGUGAGUGAUGAAGGUCUUCGGAUCGUAAAACUCUGUUAUUAGGGAAGAACAAAUGUGUAAGUAACUAUGCACGUCUUGACGGUACCUAAUCAGAAAGCCACGGCUAACUACGUG